rnacentral:rRNA from 1 species
CCUUACACAUGCAAGUCGAACGGCAGCACGGGAGCAAUCCUGGGUGGCGAGUGGCGAACGGGUGAGUAAUAUAUCGGAACGUGCCCAGUCGGUGGGGGAUAACGUAGACGAAAGCUACGCUAAUACCGCAUACGAUCUAUGGAUGAAAGCGGGGGAUCGCAAGACCUCGCGCGAUUGGAGCGGCCGAUAUCAGAUUAGGUAGUUGGUGAGGUAAAGGCUCACCAAGCCGACGAUCUGUAGCUGGUCUGAGAGGACGACCAGCCACACUGGGACUGAGACACGGCCCAGACUCCUACGGGAGGCAGCAGGUGGGGAAUUUUGGACAAUGGGCGCAAGCCUGAUCCAGCAAUGCCGCGUGCAGGAUGAAGGCCUUCGGGUUGUAAACUGCUUUUGUACGGAACGAAACGGCGAGCUCUAAUACAGUUUGCUAAUGACGGUACCGUAAGAAUAAGCACCGGCUAACUACGUG